rnacentral:rRNA from 1 species
UACCGUAACCGUCGGCGGCAAGACAAGGACGACUACGACAAUGUACACGACCAUCACCGUGGCCGCAGUCGAGCUGCCGCCGGCGGGCACCGCGCCGGACCCACGGCGCUGUCGACGCCGUUGUAGUGGCAAAGCAUGGGGAAGCCGUAGCCGCGGCCGACGAUGGCGCUGCUGCCGGCUCCGCCGAAGGUCGAGCUCACGGUGCCGAGGGGAGGCGCGGAGUGGCAGUCACCGAAGCUGGUGGUGGAGCGCCCGGAGAGGGAGCGCAGGCCGCUCCGGGCGCGGAUGGAGUUGCGCUGCGCCCUCACGAAGUCGAGGUGGCCACCGGAGCAGCUGGCGUGGUUGUGGAUGUACAGGGAGGUCAUGUCGCAGAUGGCGAAGAGGCUGCGGUUCUUGGCAGACCAGCGCGAGCCGACGGGGUUGGAGCCUAUGAAGCAGCUGCCGCUGCCUAUGAUGCAGUCGCCGACGUACAGGCACACGGCGGGGAGGGCCAUGCGGUACGGCCCGGGCACGUGGCCGCAGCCGACGACGGUCUCGCUCUAUGGGCGGCUGUAGUCGAAGAAGCCCGGAAUGGACGCGUUGAAGGGCGGCAGCUUCCUGAGCCGGCGAAAGUGGUGGUUGCGGUGCAGCACGGUGAUGCACAAGGAGCAGCUCCUGCUCACCAAGUGGAUGUGGCUGGCACAGAAGGAGUUGGCGUGGCUGCUGAAGCGGCACGGGGAACACGAGCUGACCCGGCAGGCGUUGUAGCUGUUGACGUCGCGACGGUGCGUUUUGCAGUGGCUGAAGCGGACGGCCUCGUGCCCGUCAGUCACACAGCUGCGUUGGUUGCCGGGGCCCAUGGCCACGUCGACAGGGUUCCCGAUGCUGCCGUUGGGGAUGGAGCUGUCGCCUACGCGUCUGUAGCUGCUCACGGUAGACUUUCUGCUCAUGGGCACGAUGCCACACACGUGUUUGUGCGGCCCCUCGGUGUGAACGGUUACGGGUGGUCCAUGUUCACCUCCACGGUGGCGGUUCUUGCCGACGGCCGGUUUCCUGUUAAAGUGGAAUCGAGACUUUUGGCAGUAUCCUCAGCCGCAACCGCACAAGUACAGCCAAAAGUACACGAAGACCGAGAUGGACCCCGAGGUCUUCUCCUUUGACUAGUUUCGUUUCGCCUUGAAGAAGCUCGUGUUACCUCCGCAGUAGAACGUCGUCGUCUACGCAAGGUUAUCUCCAUGGCGACAUCCUCCGCCGCCGCCCAAGUUCUAUAAGAGCCUUCUUCUCGAGCUCUUCCGUUGGUUGUUGAAGCGGUGUCUGGUCCAGGAGCCUGCGCCGCCGGUACCUUAUCAGAUGUUCCCGCAGAACCUCCUGCUCUGACACCACCGCUAGUUCUUCAGAUUCUACUACCUCUUCAGGCUAUAGUUCCUCAAGCGCUCCCUCUACGAGUAAGAGAGGGUCUAGUUGGUGGCAUUGCAGCAGUUCGACGAACCAACGACGGAACUGCACCUCCACGGCUACAACCAGAUGCUCAUACAGAGUUUACCGUGGGAGAUGGUGAAGUAGGUGCCCUUCCUCGAAUUGUUGCUGUGUCGGAACCUGUGGGCAGAGGCGUAUCGGCGUCUCAGCCGUCUCCGUAACCGCAUGUACGUAUGCAGCCGGAGUGGCGGCUAGGAGGUGCCUCUACAGUUCUGGCGGUUGUAGGAGGAGCUGUUGUUGGAGUGGCGGUUUCAGAGCCUGAAACCCCGUAGCUUCGACCGCGGCUCGCUACUCCAAGUUUAGCGUUGUGACCACGUCCCGUGGACGCCCAUGGAUCUGGGCCUCAUGGAGUACUGUACGGUCAACUGUCUGUUCUCGCUGCAGAUGUCAAAACCGCAGCACGAAAACCUCGAAGAGUGGCCUUUCUUCCGCUAGACGAAGUCGCCCGGACUCCUGUCCUCAGACCACAGUGCGAAGCAUCGCCGGUGCUUCCGGCCGUGCGUACUCUUCGAGGACCUGCUGGUCCACUCCUUCCUUUACCCCGGGCUCCGCGACCUUCUUCAGUGGGUGUAGCACUGGGCCACGCACUCGCACUCGCCCCUUCUCGCCGGCCGGUACUUCCUCCACCGCCUCUCCGACCUCCGCGAUUCCUCCAUGGUCGCCGCGGGCACCCCAGUUCGACCACCGUCACUAAGCCUCCUUCCCGUCUCGAACAAACCAUCCCUAUACCUUGCCCCACACCUCAUGUACAAACCCGGAGUUCUACAGGAACUAGAACUUCCCCCAUCGUGUAUAUGAAAUUCGAACAUC